rnacentral:rRNA from 1 species
CCUACGGGGGGCAGCAGUGAGGAAUAUUGGUCAAUGGGGGUAAGCCUGAACCAGCCAAGUCGCGUGAGGGAUGAAGGUUCUAUGGAUCGUAAACCUCUUUUAUAAGGGAAUAAAGUGUGGGACGUGUCCUAUUUUGUAUGUACCUUAUGAAUAAGGAUCGGCUAACUCCGUGCCAGCAGCCGUGGUAAUACGGAGGAUCCGAGCGUUAUCCGGAUUUAUUGGGUUUAAAGGGUGCGUAGGCGGCCUUUUAAGGCAGCGGUGAAAGUCUGUGGCUCAACCAUAGAAUUGCCGUUGAAACUGGGGGUCUUGAGUCUGUUUGAGGCAGGCGGAAUGCGUGGUGUAGCGGUGAAAUGCUUAGAUAGCACGCAGAACCCCGAUUGCGAAGGCAGCCUGCCAAGCCAUGACUGACGCUGAUGCACGAAAGCGUGGGGAUCAAACAGGAUUAGAUACCAUGGUAGUC